CACGGUCCAGACUCCUACGGGAGGCAGCAGUGGGGAAUUUUCCGCAAUGGGCGAAAGCCUGACGGAGCAAUCUCGCGUGAGGGAUGACGGCCUAUGGGUUGUAAACCUCUUUUUUCAGGGAGGAACAAAAUGACGUGUACCUGAAGAAUAAGCAUCGGCUAACUCCGUGCCAGCAGCCGCGGUAAGACGGAGGAUGCAAGUGUUAUCCGGAAUCACUGGGCGUAAAGCGUCUGUAGGUGGUUUAAUAAGUCAACUGUUAAAUCUUGAAGCUCAACUUCAAAAUCGCAGUCGAAACUAUUAGACUAGAGUAUAGUAGGGGUAAAGGGAAUUUCCAGUGGAGCGGUGAAAUGCGUAGAGAUUGGAAAGAACACCGAUGGCGAAGGCACUUUACUGGGCUAUUACUGACACUCAGAGACGAAAGCUAGGGUAGCAAAUGGGAUUAGAUACCCCAGUAGUCCUAGCCGUAAACAAUGGAUACUAGAUGUUGAACAGAUCGACCUGUGCAGUAUUAAAGCUAACGCGUUAAGUAUCCCGCCUGGGAAGUAUGCUCGCAAGAGUGAAACUCAAAGGAAUUGACGGG
rnacentral:rRNA from 1 species